rnacentral:rRNA from 1 species
UACAGAGGUCUCAAGCGUUGUUCGGAUUCAUUGGGCGUAAAGGGUGCGUAGGCGGCGCGGUAAGUCGGGUGUGAAAUCUCGGGGCUUAACUCCGAAACUGCAUUCGAUACUGCCGUGCUUGAGGACUGGAGAGGAGACUGGAAUUUACGGUGUAGCGGUGAAAUGCGUAGAUAUCGAGAGGAACACCUGCGGCGAAGGCGGGUUGCUGGGCUGACACUGACGCUGAUGCGCGAAAGCCAGGGGAGCGAACGGG